rnacentral:rRNA from 1 species
AUUGAACGCUGGCGGAAUGCUUUACACAUGCAAGUCGAGCGGCAGCGCGGGGCAACCUGGCGGCGAGCGGCGAACGGGUGAGUAAUGUAUCGGAACGUACCCAGUCGUGGGGGAUAACUAUCCGAAAGGAUAGCUAAUACCGCAUACGUCCUGAGGGAGAAAGCGGGGGAUCGCAAGACCUCGCGCGAUUGGAGCGGCCGAUAUCGGAUUAGCUAGUUGGUGAGGUAAAGGCUCACCAAGGCGACGAUCCGUAGCUGGUCUGAGAGGACGACCAGCCACACUGGAACUGAGACACGGUCCAGACUCCUACGGGAGGCAGCAGUGGGGAAUUUUGGACAAUGGGGGCAACCCUGAUCCAGCCAUUCCGCGUGAGUGAAGAAGGCCUGGUUGUAAGGACUCUUCUAGCCGGAAACGAAAUACGCUGUUUUUAAUUAACGGUACGAGUGGAUGACGGUACCGGAACGAAGAAGA